rnacentral:rRNA from 1 species
UACGUAGGGUGCAAGCGUUGUCCGGAAUUAUUGGGCGUAAAGAGCUCGUAGGCGGUUUGUUGCGUCGGCUGUGAAAUCCCGAGGCUCAACCUCGGGUCUGCAGUCGAUACGAGCAAACUAGAGUGUUGCAGGGGAGACUGGAAUUCCUGGUGUAGCGGUGAAAUGCGCAGAUAUCGGGAAGAACACCCGUGGCGAAGGCGGCUUUCUGGGACGGUACUGACGCUGAGACGCGAAAGCGUGGGGAGCGAACAGG